rnacentral:lncRNA from 10 species
ACAAUUGGAAACACAGGUUACAUUACCAACAUUUUGACUGGGAUGUCAUAUUUUCAAGUAUAACCAUACUGCUUUAAGGAAUUAAGGCCAACUUUAAAGAGCCAUUGAAGCUCUUAGAAGAACCCUCCUGAGACCUUGUUUCCACGAUUCCCUUUCAAGGUUUCUAGCCUUGGGGAGUACUGCUUUCUAAAUGUUUGUUUGCCUAUACCACAUAGAAAACUAAUGUGAUGAAAACCCACCUACAACAUCACCUCCUGGAAUUAGACACAGCUGUUCAACUGAAUCUGACUGUUCUCAGGACUAAAAGAUUAUUUCAAUAGGAUAUGGGACAAUGUACCCAAACUUGUUCUUUUUUCUGGUUACAUGUUUUUUUCCCUACUUGCCAAUCCCUUGUCUCAAAACCUCUAACUCAAAUCUCUCCAAAGCUACCAACUUAGAUUUUCAUAUGUAAAACUUUCUGAAAGUAACGUUUCAAAAUGGGUCUGAAGGAAACUAAAAUAUUUCUCCCCCAAAUAUUGAAGACUGUUAAGUUAAAGACACUGAAAAGGCGUUGGAACACUGUCCCAGCCUCUAUUUGCCCAGUGGAUAAAUCUUUCCUUACUGGAGACAAUACUUGCUUAUUAACUCAGAGAAGGACCCACAAGCACCAGGGGAAUCUGGGAACAGGUUUUACUAUUUGCCCAUAUUUGAAUGCCUUUUAAAAGACUGGAACUGCUGUCUACUAUGACUAGUCACUAUAUAGAUUUAUGGUUAUUUGUUAAAAUGCUAUUCAAGCAUGGCGCCAAGCCACUGCCUUGUGAGAGAAAUGCUCUUGAACUGAGGCCUCUCCCGUGUGAUGAGUACAACAUGUGUUAAUACAUUUCUACAUGUUUUUCUUUUGUUAAUCUGAUUUCUACACUUUCAGGAGAGUGUCUCAGCUAAGAAUCCAAAAGAGAAAGAAAAAAAUGUUUUCUCUCCUACAGUGUCUACUGGACAUUUGGUGUGGGAAGAAAACCCUCCACACAUCUGGUCACAGAAGCAUUCUGUGUUGAGUGUGUGAGUAGGAGGAGAAAAACUGUUUCUUCCUUUCAGCCUGUUUUCUCUGGGAUGAUUCCUCACCCUUCCUCUUCUCUGCAUUGCAGGGGACUAGUCAUGUGUGCUGCAUUUCCUAGGCCUCUGUUUUACUGGCUUCUGGUCGGGUUCAAUCAAUGAAAUACAGGAGGAAUGAAGAAAUCAGCGUAUGAGUCUCCUAUCCCCAUGCCUCUAGUCGAAUCCGACCGUGGCUGUGUCUUCUUUGCGGCUCUAGUUUCUUCUAGGUGACCUGGCCCAUGUCUGGGAUCUGCUAACAUUGCCUCCUGCUUUGUCCCUCAAGCCUAAGGAAGGCUGUGAAUGUCCACUGUCUGUAAUGCCUGUGUUGCCUUUCACCCUUGUUUGGUUCUCAUUUCUUCCAUUAUUUAUGCAACUGAUUUUCUCCAUUUAAGUCCCCCAGUUUAAAUACUUACAGUGAUUUCUGUUUCCUUGGAAAACCGAAUAGAUUAGGACAUUUUCAGGCAUUCAUGGAAUCAGGUGGCUUAUCUCUAGCAUAAUCCUUAGGAAGUGCCAUGAUGAUAUGUUCUAGAAAAAUUAGGAAGGAAUUCCAAAAAGAGGAUGAACCCCAUUCAAGAGGGCAAGAGGGCACAGUGGGUCCAAUCUAAGAGGGCAGUGAGGGGAAAUCCAGGCAAGAGCCAUGGAUUUAGCCUGGAGCACAGUUUAUCUUGAAAUAGCGGUACAGGAGGCUCAAAAAAGGCCAUUUGAAACCUCCCCCAAAAUAAAAGUCACGUGAGACCACAAGUCACUGUAACCCAAACUGAAACAAAAUAAAAUAUGCAAUGAUUUUAACACAAUUGGUAGAGUGUAAGAUAACCCAUUUCACCUUGAUACAGGGAUCACGCUCCUCUCUGUGGCCCACGGAUUGGCACUGAACUUGCAAAAAGGGAAAUAUAAUCUUAGCAUUACAUUUGGCUUUGCAGUAAAAAAUAUUUAGAGUCAUAUUAAUGUAAAUACUGCUUAUUGGCUUUUAGCUCUUAAAGUCAACCUAAGUAGAAAGAGUGGAAGGCUUGGUCGUAGUUACAGCUGAGAAUAUAAACGUUAACAACCUUAGUACUGUAAAAUGAAAGUGAAGUUGCAGAAGGUCAAGGGAGGAGAGUUGAGAGGGAGGGAAUGAGUAUCAAUAUUCCCAUUUUGUGAAGGGAAGAAUGAACCCACUAAAGUUGAUGAACAAAUAGAGGACUACUACAUUACUUAAAACUAUUAAGGUAGCCUGUAGUGAAAUUAAAAACAGUAUUAUAAUUGCAAACAUUGGGGAAUGGGAGCAGAAAAUGUGCAUUCAAUAGAUAUUGCCUCUAAUUCUUAGAUCUUCUACAGGCUGUCUCUGGGGCAAGGAAGGUGGGAGACAUGGUGAGGGAGGGAGGGCAGGGAGGGUGAGGUAGUCUAUGUUUCUUUCCAGUGUAAACUUUCUUUUUUAUCCUUUUCUCUCUUUCUUUCUUUUUUUGAGAUAGAGUUUCACUCUUGUUGCCCAGGCUGGAGUGAAGUGGCAGGAUUUUGGCUCACUGAAACCUCUGCCUCCUGGGUUCAAGUGAUUCUCCUGCCUCAGCCUCCCGAGUAGCUGGGAUUACAGGCAUGUGCCACCAUACCUGGCUAAUUGUGUAUCUUUAGUAGAGAGAGGGUUUCACCUCUUGGUCAGGGUGGUCUUGAACUCCUGACCUCAAGUGAUCUGCCUGCCUCGGCCUCCCAAAGUGCUGGGAUUACAGACGUGGGCCACGGCGCCCUGCCCAGUAUUAACUUUAUUUUAUUCUUUAGGUUGUUAACAUGUGUAUCUAUUACUUUAACACUUAGAAUAUAUUUAGAUGGUUUUAGAAUGUAUUGGAAUAAAUCAGAAUAAAAUGUUGACAGUUUGUCUCUGGAAAGUGAAAUUGUAUUUCCCCCCUUCUUUUUGCUUUAUCUUUUGUGUUAUGAGUAUUUAUUUACUUUUUCAUAGAAGCAUUUGUUUAUGUUGAAAAAAUGAGCAACUCUUCCACUUUUCUUCAUCUUGGAGAAAGUUAAGUUCAAACUCUGUAUUAUCAAGAGGCAAGAGUGGGUAGUGGCUAUCAGUGUGGUUCAAACCUUACUAGCCAUGUGAUGUUGGGCAAGUUAUGUAACUUUGUGGUGCUUCUGUUUCUUAUCUGUACAAUGUAGACAUGAAAUGUUGUACCUGCUGAUUAAUGGCUAUUCUGAGGAUGACACGAGGGAAUCUAUAGUAAAUGUGCGGAAUGGUGUCUGGCUUGUGGCAAACUCUCUGCAAGUGCUUACUAUUUUAUUGCUUUGGCUCCAGGAUAAUCUUCCAAAUGUCUCUUUCUGCACUUGCUUUCUGAACUGUUUGCUGUUCUUCCUACGCAGAUUUUAUUGUCCCACUUUUCCCUUCUCUCUCAAUCUCUUCAUUUCCCAAUCAAAUUCUUCCUUCUAGGUCUAGCUCAUGUACCACUUCUCCAUGUAGCUUUCCCUGAUCUGCCCAGCUAGAAGUACCUUCUCUUUCUUUUAUACGCCAUACCUUUCAUCUAUGCCAUGAGUCUUAUGGCACUUCAUACUUCUGAUGUGGGAUACUAUUUUUUCCAAUUAGGUCAGAUGUUACUGGAGAACGGAGUAUUUUAAAUUACCUGGCAGAAAGUAAGUACCCCCAAAAUGUUUUAAAAUAUAAAUAAACAAGUUAAAGAAGAAAAGUACAAGCAAUGUUGUAUCUUAGUUAAAAUAAAAGACUCAGUAGUCUUUCCCUCUCUGGUAAAAUUGCUAUUAUGCUGGUUUCUCUUGUUUCUUUCUUACAAUAGUCUGGGAUAAGACUUAGAAGGGGCCUUAAUAAUAAACCAUGUUUUCCAAUUACAAUAAAUCUUCUGUGGCUCAGUGCUGGGGCUCAUUAGAGUAAGUUCCUUUUGUUUAUUGAACAAAGACCAGAGUUUUUUUUUUUUUACUACAAUGCUGCCUCAUUUCUUCAUGACAUUUGAUCCAGUUCAAUUGUUGCAGAAAGACCCUAUUUACUAAUAGCAGAAUUUUUUAUUGUUUCUAUAGGUGGCGCUAGCUGUGCAUGUUAAAGUCACAAAUCAGGCUGAAAAUGAACCUUGCCUAGAAAUAAUCGAAUGUCCAUUUGCUUUUCAUUCUUUCUCUUAAGCUUUUUUCUUCUUUGUAUUUAUUUACUGUUCAAAAAUUUCCCUAAGCAAUGUUCUGCAGAUGCGGCACUCGAAUAGGUCAUUAAAAUCAGGUCCAUUAACAUGGGACCAUUUUUAAUAUCUUUGGAUAAUUCAGGCUUUAAAGAAAAGAAAAUAUUAAUAAUGAAAAACCUUAAAUUAUUUAUAGUGAUUUUGAAUCUGUUAUGCUGUAGGAUUAAUUUGAACAGAUUAUGUCUCGAUCAUUCCUGAUUAAAUGCCGAAUGCUAUUUAUUAAUAUCAAUGGAAGUACGCCUAUUCUAGCAGUUCAUAUUUUAUAUUUCAUGCCUAACCCCCCAUAGCCUUAUUAUACCUCUAAGUAAAAUGCUGACAUUUCUUCCUUCAAUAUUCUUUUUUUGUAUUAUGAGUCUGAGCAUUUAAUGUUAUUAAGUUUAAGGCAGUGUUUUAUGUUUGAAAAAUAAUUUACAGCAGAGACAAAAGGUGAGCAUCUUGUGCUUUGGCCCAUGAGUCCAAGGCCUAAACACACCUGGUAGUAAGCUCAAUGAGACAGAGUAAAUCAGAGGCAGUGUUCUCUGCUUCUCUUUCCUUUUUUUUUUUUUUUUUUUUUUUUGAGAUGGAGUUUUCCUCUCAUUCCCCA